rnacentral:tRNA from 1 species
CGCUGAGAAGCUUCUAUAGCACUAGCCUUUUAAGCUAGAGAGGGGGGCUUAUACUCCCUCAGUGAAC